CUAGCCUGGCGGGAACCCUCUCGCGGAGCCUUCGCCACCUGUGGGGCUGCGCUGCUGAGUGCGCCCUGCCUGGCACAACAGGCUUGAGUCACGGCGUUGAGGAACUAGCCAUGUUGGAGCGGAAGGGUGAUCCGUCAGGCAGUCGGAGCUAGCACGCUCAGAGGGAGUGCAGUCCCUCCCCUUUCUGCCUCCUCCCCACCCUGUUUCAAGGCUGGAUGCAGGGCUAGACCUCCGCAAAAUCGUGAAGCCGAAGAAAUUUGGGUCCGCCCAUCUGCUCUUACUGCACUGCGUCCGCCCUCUUUGUUUCUGUCUCAGUCUCUCUGUCUCCCUUCGUUCUCUUUCUCUCCCCCUGCUACCCCCCCCCACAGUUACACACACACACACACACACACACACACACACACACACACACACGCAGUGUGAAAGAUGCGAGCCAUAGCAUCUCGUAACAUGAAGGCCAUCCAGCUCCAUCCUCCCACUGCUGCUUGAACAAUAUGCUUAACACGUAGUGCCGCAGUCGCUGCUUGGAUUGAAUGUGUUCAUGCACAGAUUUUAUCAUCUUGUUACUCAAACGACUGAUGGCUUCUGACCCUGCCUGAAAAUUUCCUAAGAGGUAACAGUUCUAGGACACAGAUGCUGGAGGGAGUGGAGGAAGAAGUUUAAUUACCACAUACAGCUCUUCCAUAUGCAAGGUCUCUGGGGCAAAACUGUCAUUCUGUCUGAAGCCAGACCCUCAAUGUCAGACUAAGAGAGUCGGAUGGAGACUACAUCUUCUGUGUGUGUUGCAAUGGGAGGACUUCUCUCCACCGAGUUUAGUGAGGGAGAGCACCAAGGCUUAUCUGAUAGUAUACCAGGCUAUGUGUAGGCUUGCAUCAUGAACUUUUGCUUCAGAACGACUGCUGGAAUACAUUAGGAAAACCAAGAGAACCCACAGUCCCUCUGAAGGAAGUGGUUUGCUCCUGCAGGACCCAGGAGACACCCCAAAUACUGGGUUCUUGAAGAGGACUGCCAGAAGCACUGGGGAAAGGCCACAAGGAAAAGGAAACCUCCAGCCGAGCCCUUUGGGUUGAGUGGAAGCUGGGUGAGGCCUGUGACUGCUAGCUUUCCCCCACUUCCCUGACAGCCUGUGUAACACAGUAGAGGCAGCCAUAAUCCUCCUAAGAUCAUAACUCCAUUGACCUGGGAACCUCAUCCCUAUCCCCCACAGCAGCCACAGCAAGACAUGCCCAAGGAAAGAGUCUGAGCUCAAACAUGCCUAGCCCUGCCCCCACACAAUGGUCUUUCCCUACGUACCCUGGUAACUGAAGACAAAGGGCAUAUACUCUUGGGAGUUCUAGGGCCCCACUCACCGCUUGUUUCUCCCCAUAGUACCACAGCUGAUGCUCUCAGGAAAGCACCCGACAGGCCAACUAGCACAAAAAUAGUGAAUUAAACCACCAAAGCUAAGAACCCUCACAGAGUCCAUUUCACCCCCCUGCCACCUCCACCAGGACAGGUGCUGGUAUCCAUGGCUGAGAGACCCACAGAUGGUACACAUCACAGGACUCUGCAGAUAACCCCCAGUACCAGCCCAGAGCCUAGUAGACUUGCUGGGUGGCUAGAUCCAAAAGAGAGAUAAUAAUCACCACAGCUUGGCUCUCAGGAAGCCACAUCCAUAGAAAAAGGAGGAGAGUACUACAAGGGAACACCCGGUGCGACAAAACAAUCUGAACAGCAGCCUUCAGCCCUAGACCUUCCCUGUGACAGGUUCUACCCAAAUGAGAAUGAACCAGAAAACCAACUCUGGUAAUAUGAAAAAACAAAGUUCUUUAACAUACCCCCAAAAUCACACUAGCUCACCAGCUAUGAAUCCAAACCAAGAAGAAGUCCCUGAUUUACCUGAAAAAGAAUUCAGAAGGCUACCUAUUAAGCUAAUCAGGAAGGCACCAGAGAAAGGCAAAGCCGAAUGUAAGGAAAUUUAAAAAAAAAUAAAGAGGUGAAGGGAGAAAUAUUCAAUGAAAUGGAUAGCAUAAAUAAAUAAAAACAAUCAAAACUUCAGGAAACAUUGGAGCAAUUAUGGAAAUGCAAAAUGCCCUGGAAAGUCUCAGCAAUAUAAUUGAACAAGCAGAGGAAAGAAUUUUAGAACUCAAGGACAAGGUUUUCAAAUUAACCCAAUCCAACAAUGACAAAUAAAAAAAAUAUGAACAAAGCCUUCAAGAAGUCUGGGAUUAUGAUAAAUGACAAAACCUAAGAAUAGUCGGCCAUCCUGAGGAAGAAGAGAAAUAUGAAGUUUGUAAAAUGUAUUGAAGAGUAUAAUUGAAAAAAACUUCCCUGGCCUUGCUAAAAUCUAGACAUCCAAAUGCAAAAAACUCAAAGAACACCUGGGAAAUUCAUCACAAAAAGAUCAUUGCCUAGGCACAUUGUCAUCAGGUUAUCUAAAGAUAAGAUGAUAGAAAGAAUCUUAAAAUCUGAGGUAACCUAUAAAGGAAAACCUAUCAGAUUAACAGCAGAUUUCUCAGUAGAAACCCAACAAUCUAGAAGGGAGUAGGGCCCUAUCUUCAGCCUCCUCAAACAAAACACUGAUCAGCUAAGAAUUUUGUAUCCAGCAAAACUAUGCUUCAUAAAUGAAGGAAAGAUAGAAUCUUUUUCAAACAAAUGCUGAGAUAAUUUGCUACUACCAAGCCAGCACUACAAGAACUGCUAAAACAAGCUCUAAAUCUUGAAGCAAAUCUUGGAAUUACAUCAAAAUAGAACCUCUUUUUUUUCAUGUCAGAGGGGUUUAUUUUUUAUUAUUAUUAUACUUUAAGUUCUAGGGUACAUGUGCACAAUGUGCAGGUUUGUUACAUAUGUAUACAUAUGCCAUGUUGGUGUGCUGCACCCAUUAACUCAUCAUUUACAUUAGGUAUAUCUCCUAAUGCUAUCCCUCCCCCCUCCCCCCA